rnacentral:rRNA from 1 species
GAUGAACGCUGGCGGCGUGCUUAACACAUGCAAGUCGAACGAACCUUCGGGUUAGUGGCGGACGGGUGAGUAACGCGUGAGAAUCUGCCCUCAGGAGGGGGACAACAGCUGGAAACGGCUGCUAAUACCCCAUAUGCCGAGAGGUGAAAUGAAUUUCGCCUGAGGAUGAGCUCGCGUCUGGUUAGCUUGUUGGUGAGGUAAGAGCUCACCAAGGCAUCGAUCAGUAGCUGGUCUGAGAGGAUGAUCAGCCACACUGGGACUGAGACACGGCCCAGACUCCUACGGGAGGCAGCAGUGGGGAAUUUUCCGCAAUGGGCGAAAGCCUGACGGAGCAACGCCGCGUGAGGGAUGAAGGCCUCUGGGCUGUAAACCUC